rnacentral:lncRNA from 1 species
CUUUUAUAAACAAAAAUGCUGGAAACAGCUGCUGUUUUUUCUACAUGAGAGAUAAGGAAGAUGGCUGUCUCAGGCCUUGUCCACCAAAUAUAAUCUCUCUAACUCUGUUCCUCUCAAACCAAACAGGUUCCAGUACCUGGAGGAGGUGAGCAAGGCUGUGGGUGCUGAUGGGAUCUUAAAGAACAGAGCUGUACAGACAAGAGUCAAGGUGGAUUCUUUAUCAGCUGAACUACCAAGGAAGCCCUAUAGACAUACCGCAUCUUCAUCCAUUCAUCUGUUGAUGAACACCUAGGCUGCUUCCAUGCCCUGGCUACUGUAAAUAGUGCUGCAAUGAACAUUCAGGUACUUGUGUGUUUUUGAAUUAUGGUAUUCUCGGGGUAAAUGCCCAGUAGUGAAAUGCUGGGUCAUGUGGUAGUUUUAUUCC